ACAAUGGCUCACCAUGAAGACCUCGAAUCUUCGUCUGAUAGUGAGGAAGAAGAGGUCAACCGACUCAGGUCAGAGUGCGACCAGCGAGACCAGAAGAACCAGAAACCUGCACGUCAAUGCGCCGGUUGCAGGGCCAAUCACCCACGAUCGGACUGCAAAUUCCUCGGCGCACUCUGCCAUUCCUGUGGAAAGAGGAAUGGUUUGCAUCGCAAAGGUUUGCAGAAGCAAGCGAGCAUCAAGCCCAAUCCAAAGAACAACGGGCAGCCCAUCUGUAAAUCGGGACCGUCUGAAUCACCAAUGGAACCACUAUCACUAUAGGAAUCGAGCGCCUGCUGCGUCAGCUAGGCGAGAAGAGGCGCAUCAAACCAUUACCAUUGGUCACGCAUCAUCCUUGGAUGCAAGAAAGAUCCGUGUGAAGGUCGCCAUUGAGAAUCGUCCAUGCGUAAUGGAAGUAGACUCGGGAUUGUCCCUAUCAAUGGUCUCGUGGAAAACCUUCAAACAGCUGAUCCCUGACAUCCGUCGCCAGGAUCUCAGCACCCAAAAAAUCAUAUUAAGGGACUACCAGGGAAACAGGAUUCCCGUUGCCGGUUCCCGCCACGUCCAGGUGUCCUUCAAGGGCCACACCGCAACUCUGCCUAUUACCAUCGUCGAUCGAGACCGACCCAGCUUGUUGGGGUUACAGUGGUUCGCUCCACUGGGAAUUGAACUAGCUGGCAUUCACCAGACCGGGAACAGCGACUGGGAAGCGGCCCUUGUCCAGGAGUUCCAGGACGUGUUCACCGAGAAGCUAGACAAGUACAAGGGAUCCCCCAUAUCGUUUAGUCUCAACCCCGAUGUUGCGCCCAUCCGCCUUAAGCCUCGUCAAGUGCCCUUCGCACUCAAACCAAAGAUUGAUGAACAAUUGGACAAAUUAAUAGCUCAGGGGGUGUUAGAACCGAUCGAUCACGCCCAUUGGGAAACCCCGAUUGUAACUCCCAUAAAGCCUGAUAGAUCGAUAAGAAUUUGUGGGGAUUACCGGGCCACCCUAAAUCACACGCUCCAGCAGAACGCUUACCCGGUACCUGUGGUCCAACAUCUUCUUCACUCCCUGGGUGGCGGAAAAAUAUUUGCAAAAUUGGACCUCGCCCAGGCAUACCAGCAACUACCCGUAGAUGCAGAAACUGCUGAGGCCCAGACUAUAG
rnacentral:lncRNA from 1 species